rnacentral:lncRNA from 1 species
AUGUUGAGGUCCCUGAGUUUGGGAGGGCUGAGUGUACGAGUGAAAAUCAGCCUGGAGAAAAUCGGUACGAUGCUGCGGUGGGAGAAAUUCAGCGCGCUUAGCUGUCCCACUCCUCUGGCUGCUACUGUGUUAAGGACCUGGUGCCAUCUGAGAGUCUGUGCCAUUUGCAUCAUCUGGAGGGAGAGGAGAACCGGGGGCACUGCAGCUGGGGUCUUGGUGUGCCUGCAGUGGGCCGGCUGCAUGGCCUGCACCCGCACUUGCUGGACGAGUGAA